GCCCGGUUGGACGAAUGGUAAAGUUGCUGCCCUUUCACGGCGGAGACGCGGGUUCGACUCCCGCACCGGGUA
rnacentral:tRNA from 1 species